AUAAUGAGUCCAACUCCACAGACGACCGGCUCGGAGUACAAGCUGAAGAUCAGCAGAAAUGCCCAAAAUGCCAGGCAGACCGGUCCCAUAGACAUGGAAGGACAUCGCUGCAGCUUAUUAAAUGAAUAAUAUUACCAGAUGGCUCCAAUGUUUCAGCACUUCAAGAAAAUGUGGAUGGCAUGGAAAUGGAUACUUGCCUGCGGGGAUCAACCAGUUCUUCUGUUACAUAGUUCAAGAAGUUCCAGCCACUGAAUGCAAACGACCCUUGAAGAAAAGCUAACGCUAAAUGCCCCACGGAUGGAGUCAUCCAAAAAUUGAAUGCGUUGCUUGGUGUCAGCUCUUCGUAGUUUCCUGCACAGAGAGCGCAAGCAAGAGUUUAAGCCACCCCUACCUACCAGAGACACUGUAAAAUAGGUAAAUUUCUGCUUUUUAUUCUUUCUUUUUGUUCUUUAUUCCUUAUUGGAUUUGGGACUUCAUGCUCUUCACAUCACUGGGGGCUGGCAUUGCACUUGCAGUGCUUUCUGCGGGACGGCGUCCUGGGGAGGCAGCUCGGGCUGUGUGCACGGGCAUCCCUCGCUGCCAUCUGUGCCACGGCACCGGUGCCACCGCCGUGACUCGUGGGACCCUUUGCCAACCUGCGCUGUCUGAGGAUGGCUCCUUGGCGGGGCAAAUUCCUACCUGUUCUUAAUGUGGUUUUCUUUCACAAGAGUUUGGUGGUGUUUAGUAGAAAUACCAAAAAAUAAAAUGUCUGUGGGGCUAGAAGAUUUAUCAGGAUUGUGGGACUAUUACCACUGAGAAAACAAGUUUUCUGCUCUCUGUAAAUGUCAUAUUUCAUCUUGCUUUAUAUGACUCAUCAUAUACACGAUAAAAACAUUGUGAGCC